UUUCCGUAGGUGAACCUGCGGAAGGAUCAUCAAAAGAUUUGCUGAUUUUUGGAUGGACUCGUUUUGACAGCAGCCCAGUUUGCUCUGGGCUACACACUACACACUACCCACACACACUCACACCUCGGCCAGAACUAUUAUUAAAAGAACACAACUUUCAACAAUGGAUCUCUUGGCUCUUGCAUCGAUGAAGAACGCAGC
rnacentral:misc_RNA from 1 species